CUUCCUUCCUUCCUUUCUUCCUUCCCUUCAGAUAUAUCUAUGAAAUAGCCAGACAGAACCCAUUCAUCUUUGCCCUCACACUCUUGUCUCUGGCUGCUCACUACAAAGAAGUCAGCGCUAGUUGUUGUCAAGAAGAAAACAAACAUGAAUGCUUCCACACAAAGGCAACAAUUAUUGCAAAUGAUUGAAAAGAAAUCUCUGCCAAGCAGCAAAACCUCUGUGGGGUAUUGAGGCAAUUUAGACCCAAAGGAGUGAAACUUCAGAAAGUUGUGGAAAUCAGCCAAAAAUUCCCCAAGAUUGACUUUAAAGAACUUGACAUACUCUUGAAAGGUAUUCCGACCAUGAUCGAUGGGUGCUGCCAAGGGGAUGUAGUUCACUGUUUCCAUAGUGAGGUUGAUUGUGAGCCUUGCGUAUCAGAAGCCUCUUUUGGCAGUGGAGCAAGCAGGUGCUUUCAGAUUUCUCCAUGAUGGUCAAUUGCUGUGAAACAGAAAAGAGGGAGAUGUGCUUCAAUGAAGAGGUAUAAGAGCCAGUCCUC
rnacentral:lncRNA from 1 species